UUUACCUACGGGAGGCAGCAGUGGGGAAUAUUGCACAAUGGGGGAAACCCUGAUGCAGCGACGCCGCGUGAGUGAGGAAGUAUUUCGGUAUGUAAAGCUCUAUCAGCAGGGAAGAAAAUGACGGUACCUGACUAAGAAGCCCCGGCUAACUACGUGCCAGCAGCCGCGGUAAUACGUAGGGGGCAAGCGUUAUCCGGAUUUACUGGGUGUAAAGGGAGCGUAGACGGCCAUGCAAGCUCGGUGUGAAAGGUGCGGGCACAACCCGCAGACUGCACUGAGAACUGUAUGGCUGGAGUGCCGGAGGG
rnacentral:rRNA from 1 species